rnacentral:tRNA from 1 species
AACAACUUACCGGGUUACGCGCCGAAUCAUAAUCCGCAGGUCCGGGGUUCGAGUCCCUGAUUCGCCACCA